GACGAACGCUGGCGGCGUGCCUAAUACAUGCAAGUUGAACGCAACAAAGACACCAGAGCUUGCUCUACCGUCUUUGUUGAGUAGCGAACGGGUGAGUAACGCGUGGGUAACCUGCCUUAUAGCGGGGGAUAACUAUUGGAAACGAUAGCUAAUACCGCAUAACAAUAGAGAUUGCAUAAUCUUUAUUGAAAGUGCCAACUGGUACACUAUGAGAUGGACCCGCGUUGUAUUAGCUAGUCGGUAGUGUAAUGGACUACCAAGGCGAUGAUACAUAGCCGACCUGAGA
rnacentral:rRNA from 1 species